rnacentral:tRNA from 1 species
UGGGCUAUUAGCUCAGUGGUAGAGCGCGCCCCUGAUAAUUGCCGGGCGAGGUCUCUGGUUCAAGUCCAGGAUAGCCC